rnacentral:rRNA from 1 species
GACGAACGCUGGCGGCGUGCUUAACACAUGCAAGUCGAACGGAAAGGCCUGCUUUCCCUUGUGGAUUGCGGGUACUCGAGUGGCGAACGGGUGAGUAACACGUGAGUGAUCUGCCCCCAACUUGGGUAUAAGCCUGGGAAACUGGGUCUAAUUCCCGAUAGGACUGCAGGGUGGUGCCUGUGGUGGAAAACGAUUUUCUAGUGGUUGGGGAUGAGCUCGCGGCCUAUCAGCUUGUUGGUGGGGGAAUGGCCUACCAAGGCGGCGACGGGGAGCCGGCCUGGGAGGGUGGACGGGCGCAUUGGGACUGGGAUACGGCCCAGACUCCUACGGGAGGCAGCAGUGGGGAAUAUUGCGCAAUGGGCGGAAGCCUGAUGCAGCGACGCCGCGUGGGGGAUGACGGCCUUCGGGUUGUAAACUCCUUUCGACCGCGAGGAAGCCACCUGGUUGGAAGGGUGGUGACGGUAGUGGUAGAAGAAGCACCGGCUAACUACGUG